rnacentral:lncRNA from 1 species
GGUUGGUGGAAUCAUAGCCUCCAGGGCCUCUGGUCCCCCUCACCCUGUGCCUUCGUGGAAGGGAGGCCUGAGAGCUGUCCCCGGUCACCGGGGCCCCUGCCCUGACGCCAGGGGUCAGCCUCUCAAGGUUAGGGUCUGUCUCCUUCCCUCCCUCCCUUCAGCUUCGCACGUAAAGGGCACCCAGCUGCAGGACCUGCCUGUGUCCUCCGAGGCGCUGUCGGCCUGCGGGCUUGUGGCGGGGCCUCCGGGUGAAGCUCGAGGAGUGGAGCUGGGCCGGGUCGAUCGCUUCGUUUGGAUGGAAAAGAACCUAAAAUUUCUCAAUAAGGUUUCUAUUGAUUAGACGGUGGAAUGACCAUAUUUGGGGCAUGCUCAUGGGUUAAAUUCACUUGUUUGUUUUUCCUUUUUUGGGGGGCCGCAUUCGAGAGACUUGGAAGGUCCCUGGGCCAGGGAUUGAAUCAGAGCCGCAUGGGCGACCUACGCCACAGCUGAGGUAACACGGGACCCUUAACCCACUGCAGCACAGCGGGAACUCCCUGCUGCACGUCUCUGAGCCACACUGUCUUCCUUGAGGAGGCGCUGCUGAGGGUGACGGAGACCCCCCUACUGGAGGUGCCACUGAGGUGUGGCAGGGAGGGGGCAUCCAUCCGUCUGUCCCCAGGCCUCGGACCCUGGUGCCUGAGAGACACGGAUGCUGCAAGACUCCAUCUCCAGCACCACCACUGCUGCGCUCAGACCCUGGGGCUCUGUCAGGAGUCUGCCCUGCACGGCUUUUAUCAAAACAUCCAAAACUAGGCCAGAGACAAGGCCAGGGAACCUGCAGCCUUCGGGCCACUCCAGGCCGCCUACCAGGUUCCGGCAGAGCUGCCGGGCGGGACGUGGACCCCGCGGGCACUUUCGAGCCUCUGCACCCCAGCGUCCCUUCUGCUGCCGAAAGAGUUCUCCACAGAGCGCUGCUGGAGUCCGGGAGCCUGGAGUCCGUGAACCUGGACGAGAAAACAGUCACAUCCAUAUCGGCACCAACUAAAUUCAGCAUCGCCCUGCCUUGUGAAUGUGAGCAGCAAAACCCAGUGAGGUCUGUGGUUUUGCCACCGACGUUAUCAACCACAAACCCUACUGGGUUUCCGAACAUCCUACCUUUAUUGCAGAAAUUUCAGGAUGGCAUUUGGACUCAAAUCACGGUAGUUCUUAAAUCCACCACUAGGUAUUCUUUUAAAUGUGCUAAGAAGAAGUUGGAGUUCCCUGGUGGCCUAGCUGGUUAGGGAUCCUGCAUUAUCACUGCUGUAGCUGGGUUAGAUUCCUGGCCUGGGAGUGUCUGCAGGCUGCUGGCCAAAAAAAAAGAAGAAGAAGGAGAAAAGGAAGAGGAAGGGGAAGAAAAGAAGAAGAGGCAUGUAUAUUAAAAAAUAGUUUGACAAAUUUCAGUGCAUUUGGCUUCCUUUAUAAUCCUACGUAUUUUGCUAUUUUGCAUUGUGCAUUUAAAAACAUGAUCCUGGAGUUCCCGUCGUGGCGCAGUGGUUGACGGGUCCGANGUGGAAGUUCCCCGGCCAGGGACUGAAUCUGAGCCACGACAGUGACCCAAGCCACCGCAGUGAAAAUGCUGGAUCCUUAACCUGCUGCACCAGAAGAACACUCAAAAGCCUAGUUGAGGUAAUGCCGGGGAGCUGAUAUUCUGGAGCGCUGGCAGUCAUUUUGUGACUCUGAGGGUAAAGCUGACUCAGUGAGAAGGGCAGAUUGAGGAGUGGGGGAAGUUCCAGGGUCCUUUCCCAGCUAUGACCAGAAUUAACCAACCGGGGAAAGUCCCCUCUUCUGGGCUUCUUAUUUCUUGCUGUAACACAUGGCCUUGUUGUUUAGCCAGUUGAGUCAGGGGUUUCUGUUUUGGGCCCUGAAGACUGCAUGCCUGAAAGAUGGUGUUUCCAGAGGGGUCCGGGAAUGGCCUAGAGAAAGACAGGUGAGACUAGAAUUCUGCUGGCCUGGACAGAGGCGUUGCGUGAAUUAGGAAGGAUGCUCCCCUGGCUGGGGCUAGCCUUUUGGCACAAAGAAAAGCCUCCGGUCUGGGAGUUCUUGUUGUGGCUCAGCAGGUUAAGAACCAGAUGAGUAUCCAUGAGGAUGCGGAUUUGAUCCCUGGCCUCACUCAGUGGGUUAAGAAUCCAGCGUUGUCACAAGCUGUGGUAUACGUCUCAGAUGUGGCUCAGAUCCUGCGUUGCUGUGGCUGUGGUGUAGGCCGGCAGCUGCAGCUCCAAUUCAACCCUUAGCCUGGGAACUUCCAUAUGCUGGGAGUUUGGCCCUAAAGAGACAAACAAACAAAAAAAGCCUCUAGGCUGACACAGCCACCCAUCUAGAGCACAGGCUUGUCUAAGGGGCCUUGAGCUGGCUCUCCCCGCCCCCUAGAGCCUUUGUGCAGGAUUCGACCUGGGAGGCCCUGGGAGAGGACCCCGGAUGGAGAGCAGGGAGGCUUCGUGGAGGGGUGUGUGGGGAGGGCAGGGCCUGAGGAAGGCAGCUGGCACCCUUAAGGGAGACCCUCCAAUGGCCGCGCCCACGACCUGCAGCUUCUUCUGCCUCAGACGCCCUGCAGAUGCGCUCCUUGUUCCGGCCCCAAACUGCCCUUGUCCCUAUCUGAGCACUGCCAUCAAUGCCCUGGACCCUUGCAAAGUGUCCCGGACAUGCACUGAGCGGGUAGAAAGGGGCUGGCAGGAUACCCGAGCCAGGCAGGUAGUAGAUGCUGCUCACUUCCCCGUGUGGGCAUUUCAAACCCCCCAGGCGGCUGGCACUCCCUGAACCAUCUUGCUCGCUGGGCAGAGUCCACCCCCCGGCUCUCCGGGGAAGCAGCCAG